UCCUUUCAGCUGGUGAGGCAUGGCUCCCAAGGCUACGAUGGGUAGGGGUUCUUAGUGGAAGAUCCCCCACACUGGCACUGAGAUACGGGCCAGACUCCUACGGGAGGCAGCAGUAGGGAAUAUUGGUCAAUGGGCGAAAGCCUGAACCAGCCAUGCCGCGUGCAGGAUGACAGCUCUCUGAGUUGUAAACUGCUUUUGUACAGGAGCAAAACAAUCCCUGCGGGGGUUCUUGAGAGUACUGUAAGAAUAAGCACCGGCUAAUUCCGUGCCAGCAGCCGCGGUAAUACGGAAGGUGCAAGCGUUAUCCGGUUUUAUUGGGUUUAAAGGGUGCGUAGGCGGCUUAUUAAGUCAGUUGUGAAAUCCUAGUGCUUAACGCUAGAACUGCAAUUGAUACUAUUAGGCUUGAGUUAAGAAUAGGU
rnacentral:rRNA from 1 species